ACGAACGCUGGCGGCGUGCUUAACACAUGCAAGUCGAACGGAAAGGCCCUGCUUGCAGGGUGCUCGAGUGGCGAACGGGUGAGUAACACGUGGGUGAUCUGCCCCUUACUUUGGGAUAAGCCUGGGAAACUGGGUCUAAUACUGGAUAGGACCAUGCUGUAGGUGGUGUGGUGGAAAGAUUUUUUCGGUAAGGGAUGAGCUCGCGGCCUAUCAGCUUGUUGGUGGGGUAAUGGCCUACCAAGGCGUCGACGGGUAGCCGGCCUGAGAGGGUGGACGGCCACAUUGGGACUGAGAUACGGCCCAGACUCCUACGGGAGGCAGCAGUGGGGAAUAUUGCACAAUGGGCGCAAGCCUGAUGCAGCGACGCCGCGUGGGGGAUGACGGCCUUCGGGUUGUAAACUCCUUUCAGCCAUGACGAAGCCUCUUUUGGGGUGACGGUAGUGGUAGAAGAAGCACCGGCUAACUACGUG
rnacentral:rRNA from 1 species